CUUGGUCAUUUAGAGGAAGUAAAAGUCGUAACAAGGUUUCCGUAGGUGAACCUGCGGAAGGAUCAUUAUCGAAUUCUGAGGGGGGGAAGAUGGGAAGUGGAGAUUGUCGCUGGCCCUCCUUGGGGGGCAUGUGCACAUCUUCCUUUUCGUUGACCCCCCUUUCUCACACACACACACCUGUGCACCUAUNGUAGGUCCUCGAAAGAGGAUCUAUGUUUUUCAUAUCACACCCAUCGUAUGUCUAUAGAAUGUAUUGAAAUAAUAAAUCAUACAACUUUCAGCAACGGAUCUCUUGGCUCUCGCAUCGAUGAAGAACGCAGCGAAUUGCGAUAAGUAAUGUGAAUUGCAGAUUUUCAGUGAAUCAUCGAAUCUUUGAACGCACCUUGCGCUCCUUGGUAUUCCGAGGAGCAUGCCUGUUUGAGUGUCAUCGAAUCCCUCAAACCCAUGUCUUGAUUUUCAUGGGCUUUGGACUUGGGGGCUGCUGGUAACAAAAGUUGUCAGCUCUCCUCAAAUGCAUUAGCAAAGGACUAGCAAGUCUCUGUCGUGCACGGCCUUUGACGUGAUAAUGAUCGUCGUGGCUGGAGCGUUUGGACAUGCAUGAAUCGUCCCUGCUUCCAAUCCUAGGCUAGCCUUGAGUUUGGUUGCUCAGCUAUUAGUUCGGUCGCAAGGCCAACGAACGUUGGGCAGGCUGAGCUUUUAGGCUUGUCUUUCUUUGAAACUUGACCUCAAAUCAGGUAGGACUACCCGCUGAACUUAAGCAUAUCAAUAAGCGGAGGAAAAGAAACUAACAAGGAUUCCCCUAGUAACUGCGAGUGAAGCGGGAAGAGCUCAAAUUUUAAAUCUGGCAGUCUCUUGGCUGUCCGAGUUGUAAUCUAGAGAAGUGUUUUCCGCGCUGGACCGUGUAUAAGUCUCCUGGAAGGGAGCGUCGUAGAGGGUGAGAAUCCCGUCUUUGACACGGACUACCAGAGCUAUGUGAUGCGCUCUCGACGAGUCGAGUUGUUUGGGAAUGCAGCUCAAAAUGGGUGGUAAAUUCCAUCUAAAGCUAAAUACAGGCGAGAGACCGAUAGCGAACAAGUACCGUGAGGGAAAGAUGAAAAGAACUUUGGAAAGAGAGUUAAACAGUACGUGAAAUUGCUGAAAGGGAAACGCUUGAAGU
rnacentral:rRNA from 1 species